UCAGUUCUUUAUCGGAAUCUGAGGCAGUAAGGACACAGAAUAUCGGUGAGACUUCGAACCUGAUGGAGAAGUUUCCUUCAUACGAUCAAUCACAUUUUCCGAAAGCUG